UGAGUGAAUGAUUCAGCAAACAAAGGAAAAAACACGUGCACAAGGAGAAACACGUUUGUCACGGUUCAAGUUAAACUCUCAUAUCAAGUCUUCCCUCCAACUGAACUCUCUCUUCCUCCGCUGAGCUGGAGGUCACCUCCGGCGGCGGCAAAGCCUUAAUACCUAAAACAAAUCACACCAUCCCCUUCCUUUUUUUUUCUCUGGACUCCAAAUAUCACCAUGAAAAAUUCCAAUUCCUCAUAAAUCAUUCAAAUAAAAUUAAACGCUCAAGAACCCUAAGUUUGAGAUUCAGAAAUUAAAUGUCAAUUAGGAGUGAUUUGGAGUCCAAACCAUAGGGGUUUGGCUCCCUUAUCAGCAAUCUACAUCGUGGUUGCUAUGGAUUAAAGAGGAAGAGCGAAAAGACUUACUUGCCGGAGCAACUUCGGCGGUUAUUCACGUUGACUGAUUCUAAAAACGAAGCUCCAAGGUCUGCAACUCAUCCAAAGUGAGAGAGAUUAUGGAGGAAUGUCAGAAUGAGGUGAAACUUAAUGGUGAUCUAAUGACGUUGAAUGUGAAUUUACGGGUCUAGGCAUGGAGAUUUGGUAAAGGAUGUCAAGGCAUGAACCAAAAGAUAUGGGCUUGAAGAUCAAAAUGAUGUGGAUUUGGGGAAAUGUGGUUGACUUUGGUCAAGUUGACCAAAGUCAAUUGUAGGUUUUAGACUAGGGUUUUCUUGAACGUAAAAUGUAUGGUCUUGAUAAAAAUGUACCUAUGAUGACUUGUAAUGUAAAAGAUCUUGAAUGAGUAAAACUUGGUUUUAAAUAAAACAUGACUUUCAUGA